rnacentral:miRNA from 1 species
UGUGUGUGUGUGUGUGUGUGUGUGUGAGUGUGAGAUCUAACCAGAGUUCAGCAGCUCCUGCUCCAUCACUCCACAGCCCAGCAC